CAUUCUCCCAGAGUCUGUGUGGUUUGACUCUGUGCCUACUUGGCCCCCACCCCCAAAGGGAACAAUAGCAAAGGACCCUGCUGCAUCUGGUGCCGAAAACCAGGACAUUUGGUACUUGAACGGGGUCUGUCUCCCUUUAUGCUGGUUGAGAAGCCCCCUUGAGCGGUAUAUUUCGAAUACCACCACACUGAUAUGGAUACCCUCCAGAGAUGUGCGUCUGGCAACAGACCAAGAGACUUUGGCCAAAGAAGCUUCAGAGGGGUAAUGUAUGAUUUGCCCUGCUGCCGUGGCAUUAGUGAAGAUCAUUUCAUCGCUGGCAUGUGACCCUAGAUAUUAAGCAAUUGCCUCACCCCCUACAAGGUCGAUUAUACAUCACCAGAAGGACUUCGAUUGGUGCAAUAAAAAUGACUGGGGUUCCAUCCAUGUCCUUGAGAUUGAAAUUUUUGACUAAUCCUCUCUUGUUCAGAUAUCUUCUGCAACAGGUUCACCAACAGAAGGCGGCCACAAAGGCGACCCUACAGGUUUUAUUGGCUCUCAGAUACCUCGAUCAAAGUCCUCCUGGAGAGAUAAUGCACAUAUGGCUCACUGAGAUACAGAAGGCUACUUCCUAAAGCCCACCACCCAGACAGCUCUCCAGGAUUGAUGUUCUUUCAGGGCUGGUAGUCAAUGAUGGAUACGAGCUUGUUUGGCAAGACAAUCUAAGAUAGGCACAGUCCAUUAUGCUGAGCUCUCCUGAGGUGGGGUCAACAAGGUUAGGGCAAUGCACCCUGGCUCCCACUGAGCAUGUCCUAUAAAAUAAUAAAAAGGGCCCAAACAAGUAAAAAAGAUACUUUCUGAGAGCCAGUAUGGGUCUGCCUGAUGGUCUUAGCAACAGCCCCUGAAACAUGAUCUGGAAAUGACCUUGACCAAUGAGAGACAGCCAAGUCACACCAACAGAUGCAUAUUCAUCAGACCUCUCCCCAGGGUGGGGUGGAGGGUAUAUAAGGCUUGCUUCUUCCUGAAUAAACUGAGCUUGUUGUUUCAACCUUC